GUAAUCAGAGCCGAUGAUUUCGAUUUCCCACUCCCUUGCUGCUGUUGUUCUUCCUUGUACCCGUUCAUUGACCGAACCAGUUCCUUAAACCCUAGAUCGUCGAAUUCAAAAUUCUGAACAGUGAAAUUGGAAAAACUAAAUGCCGAUUUGAUGAUAGUCGUUGAUUUGAGAGAGAGUUGGGGAAGUCGUGGAUUUGAGAGAGAGUUGGGGAAGUCGUGGAUUUGAUAGAGAGAGUCGG
rnacentral:lncRNA from 1 species